AGCCUCCCUGAUGUUAGCGGCGGACGGGUGAGUAACACGUGGGUAACCUGCCUGUAAGACUGGGAUAACUCCGGGAAACCGGGGCUAAUACCGGAUGCUUGAUUGAACCGCAUGGUUCAAUUAUAAAAGGUGGUAGCUACUACUUACAGAUGGACCCGCGGCGCAUUAGCUAGUUGGUGAGGUAACGGCUCACCAAGGCGACGAUGCGUAGCCGACCUGAGAGGGUGAUCGGCCACACUGUUACUGAGACACGGCCCAGACUCCUACGGGAGGCAGCAAUAGGGAAUCUUCCGCAUAGGACGAAAGUCUGACGGAGCAACGCCGCGUGAGUGAUGAAGGUUUUCGGAUCGUAAUUCUCUGUUGUUAGGGAAGAACAAGUACCGUUCGAAUAGGGCGGUACCUUGACGGUACCUAACCAGAAAGCCACGGCUAACUACGUGCCAGCAGCCGCGGUAAUACGUAGGUGGCAAGCGUUGUCCGGAAUUAUUGGAUGUAAAGCGCGCGCAGGCGGUUUCUUAAGUCUGAUGUGAAAGCCCCCGGCUCAACCGGGGAGGGUCAUUGGAAACUAGGGAACUUGAGUGCAGAAGAGGAGAGUGGAAUUCCACGUGUAGCGGUGAAAUGCGUACAGAUGUGGAGGAACACCAGUGGCGAAGGCGACUCUCUGGUCUGUAACUGACGCUGAGGCGCGAAAGCGUGGGGAGCGAACAGGAUUAGAUACCCUGGUAGUCCACGCCGUAAACGAUGAGUGCUAAGUGUUAGAGGGUAACCGCCCUUUAGUGCUGCAGCAAG
rnacentral:rRNA from 1 species